UACGUAGGGUGCGAGCGUUAAUCGGAAUUACUGGGCGUAAAGCGUGCGCAGGCGGUUCGUUGUGUCGGUGGUGAAAUCCCCGGGCUUAACCUGGGAAUGGCCAUGGAAACUGGCGAACUGGAGUGCGGCAGAGGGGGGUGGAAUUCCGCGGUGUAGCAGUGAAGUGCGUAGAGAUGCGGAGGAACACCGAUGGCGAAGGCAGCCCCCUGGGCUAGCACUGACGCUCAGGCACGAAAGCGUGGGGAGCAAACAGG
rnacentral:rRNA from 1 species